ensembl:lncRNA
GACAGGUGAUUCAGACCAAGGUAAAUGACUACCUGUCGACAGGUGAUUCAGACCAAGGUAAAUGACUACCUGUCGACAGGUGAUUCAGACCAAGGUAGAUGACUACCUGUGCACGUAUAACUGAGUCACAUACCUCACCUGUGAAAAGGUAGUUAAACUUGGAGGUGUUGAAGAGAUGGAGGCGCUUACACCUUUUCUCAGGUGAUUCAAACGUAGCUUACCUUUUGCACAGGUAACGGAGAGUGCCGCCUGUGUGUCGACAUUCACACAGGGUCACCUAGAGUGGCGUCUGCCUGUUUAUUGCCUUCUUCCUCGCGUACCCCGCCGGAUCAAUCUAUAGAAUUGCUACCCCCACCUGCGUCCAGGUAACUACAACAGGUCUCUAGAAGUACAUCUGUGUGCAGGUGAUUGAUUGAGCCACAGCUCUGGGAGAGCAGGUGUAUGUAUGCAGAUGAUCUGUAAUACUGUGUCAACAUGUUCAUUAUUAAACUCCAUUCACUCACUAACUGAGGCAGGUUUGGUUUAUUGUGUGAAAAAAAAGAUGGUUUUACAUUAAUAAUGUUGUCAUUAAUGCUUUCAGUGUUGGUAUUGCAUUUCCCCAACAUACACAUUUUCAUAAGUUGCCUCUGGAACACACAUUUCUAGAUGACUUUAAUACGAUCAACGGUGAUUUAAAACACACUUCUAGAUCACUUUAAUACGUUCAGCUGUGAUUUAAAACACACUUCUGUCACUUUAAUAGGUUCAGCGGUGAUUUAAAAACACACUUCUAGAUCACUUUAAAAGUAACAGUAUGUAGCAAUUGUACUUCAGGG